rnacentral:rRNA from 1 species
UACGUAGGGGGGCUAGCGUUGUUCGGAAUUACUGGGCGUAAAGCGCGCGUAGGCGGCCCUGUAAGUCCGUUGUGAAAGUCAAAGGCUCAACCUUUGAAAGCCGAUGGAUACUGCAGGGCUAGAGUUCGGAAGAGGCGAGUGGAAUUCCUGGUGUAGCGGUGGAAUGCGCAGAUAUCAGGAGGAACACCAAUAGCGAAGGCAGCUCGCUGGGACGAUACUGACGCUAAGGCGCGAAAAGCGUGGGGAGCGAACAGG